CCUACGGGAGGCAGCAGUGAGGAAUAUUGGUCAAUGGGCGCUAGCCUGAACCAGCCAAGUAGCGUGAAGGAUGACUGCCCUAUGGGUUGUAAACUUCUUUUAUAUGGGAAUAAAGAGCAGUAUGUAUACUGCUUUGCAUGUACCUUAUGAAUAAGGAUCGGCUAACUCAGUGCAAGCAGCCGCGGUAAUCCGGAGGAUCAUAGCGUUAUCAGUAUUUAUUGGGUUUAAAGGGAGUGUAGGUGGGGUGUUAAGUCAGUUGUGAAAGUUUGCGGCUCAACCGUAAAAUUGCAGUUGAUACUGGCAUCCUUGAGUACAGGAGAGGUAGGCGGAAUUCGUGGUGUAGCGGUGAAAUGCUUAGAUAUCACGAAGAACUCCGAUUGCGUAGGCAGCCUGCUGGACUGUAACUGACGCUGAUGCUCGAAAGUGUGGGUAUCAAACAGGAUUAGAUACCCCUGUAGUC
rnacentral:rRNA from 1 species